CGGAGGGUGCAAGCGUUAUCCGGAUUCACUGGGUUUAAAGGGAGCGCAGGCGGAUUUGUAAGUCAGUGGUGAAAGGCUUAAGCUUAACUUGGGAACUGCCAUUGAUACUAUAAGUCUUGAAUGUUGUUGAGGUUUGCGGAAUGGGUCAUGUAGCGGUGAAAUGCAUAGAUAUGACCCGGAACACCUAUUGCGAAGGCAGCAGGCUAAACAAAUAUUGACGCUGAGGCUCGAAAGCGUGGGGAUCAAACAGGAUUAGAUACCCUGGUAGUCCACGCCCUAAACUAUGAUUACUCGACAUAUGCGAUACACUGCAUGUGUCUGAGCGAAAGCAUUAAGUAAUCCACCUGGGAAGUACGACCGCAAGGUUG
rnacentral:rRNA from 1 species